rnacentral:rRNA from 1 species
AGGUUUCCAUAGGUGAACCUGUGGAAGGAUCAUUAUCAGGACAAUAACACCAAAGAUUCAAGGAACAUGGGUAGAGGGUGGGAUAAGUUCAACUCAGACUCAGGGCGGCCUGUGUUGGGGGGAGGCCAUUGUCCCUGGGGCCGGAGUUGGCCAUGGGGCCGUGAUGACGGCUCACUCUGACGUGGCGUAAGGCGGAAGCCCAGCGCCUGCAAUGCCACGCCCUCCGCGCUCAGUCAAACCCACUGGCCGGGUUCAAACACUCAUUCCGAAAGAACCAAAAUCCAUCUGCAUACACCUCCCCGUUGCUUCCCCGGGACGUACCCCAUGGGAGGCCCCCGAGCAAACCAGGCUGCCCAACCAACCAGCAGUGCCUCCUCCGUCUGACAGCCGGCGAGCCAGAGGAAGCAGGAACGAGCGAUGAAACAAAAACAAGAAAGAAAACUUUCAACAACGGAUCUCUUGGUUCCUGCAUCGAUGAAGAACGCAGCGAAAUGCGAUAAGUAAUGUGAAUUGCAGAAUUCAGUGAAUCAUCGAAUCUUUGAACGCACAUUGCGCCCCCUGGCAUUCUGGGGGGCAUGCCUGUUCGAGCGUCUCUGGGACGAACCCUCACACGAGCGAACGCAUGGUCAUGGUGGCGGUGGCGUGCCCGAUGGGGCGGCCACCACGCUGGAAGCUAAUGGCGGACGCCUGCUGUGUGGCCGAGCAUGAUACGAUGUGAUGGUGCUCCCGCGUGGCGAAGCUGCCAGCCCUUCCCCGUCCUUCCAGGGCGGGAGGGCAGCGAGCAAAAAGAUAUGGGCACUC